CAUCGUUGAAACGCUGGUUCCGACACAAUCACCCCAGUUAAGCAAUGUUGAGCCUGGUCAGUACUUAGAUGGGUGACCGCUUGUAAAUACCAGCAGCUGUAAG